rnacentral:rRNA from 1 species
AUUGAACGCUGGCGGCAGGCUUAACACAUGCAAGUCGAGCGGGGGAAGGUAGCUUGCUACCGGACCUAGCGGCGGACGGGUGAGUAAUGCUUAGGAAUCUGCCUAUUAGUGGGGGACAACAUCUCGAAAGGGAUGCUAAUACCGCAUACGUCCUACGGGAGAAAGCAGGGGAUCUUCGGACCUUGCGCUAAUAGAUGAGCCUAAGUCGGAUUAGCUAGUUGGUGGGGUAAAGGCCUACCAAGGCGACGAUCUGUAGCGGGUCUGAGAGGAUGAUCGGCCACACUGGGACUGAGACACGACCCAGACUCCUACGGGAGGAAGCAGUGGGGAAUAUUGGACAAUGGGGGGAACCCUGAUCCAGCCAUGCCGGGUGUGUGAAGAAGGCCUUAUGGUUGUAAAGCACUUUAAGCGAGGAGGAGGCUACUCUAGUUAAUACCUAGGGAUAGUGGACGUUACUCGCAGAAUAAGCACCGGCUAACUCUGUGCCAGCAGCCGCCGUAA